CGGCUCUGCUUUUAUCUGAUCAUACACUAAACUUCUGCUUCUGAUUUUGUUGAACAAGAAGGAGACUCCAGAAGCAUUCUGGGGACCAGCCCUUCGGAGUGACCAGUUGCCUGCAGAAGGGGCCAAGCACUAUACUGAGCAUGUGACGUUCAAGAAGAGGUGGACAGCUCACACCUCAGGGAUCCGAGUCCUUCCUGCCCCUCAGCCCACUGCACUCAUGGGGACAGCUCCCUCCAC